UACGGGGGGAGCAAGCGUUGUUCGGAUUUACUGGGCGUAAAGGGCUCGUAGGCGGUUUGUCGCGUCGGGAGUGAAAACCUACAGCUUAACUGUGGGCUUGCUUUCGAUACGGGCAGACUAGAGGUAUGCAGGGGAGAACGGAAUUCCUGGUGUAGCGGAGAAAUGCGCAGAUAUCAGGAGGAACACCGGUGGCGAAGGCGGUUCUCUGGGCAUGAUCUGACGCUGAGGAGCGAAAGUGUGGGGAGCAAACGGG
rnacentral:rRNA from 1 species